UUUCGCAAUGCCCGAAAGGGUGACGAAGCGACGCCGCGUGUGGGAAGAAGGCCCUAGGGUUGUAAACCACUGUCAGGAGUUAAGAAAUAUAGAGACGUUAAUAGCGUUUCUAUUUGACGAAGGCUCCAGAGGAAGCCACGGCUAACUCUGUGCCAGCAGCCGCGGUAAUACAGAGGUGGCAAGCGUUGUUCGGAAUUAUUGGGCGUAAAGAGCACGUAGGCGGUCCUGCAAGUCUGUUGUGAAAUCCUUCCGCUUAACGGGAGAACGGCAGCUGAUACUACAGGACUAGAGUACGGGAGGGGAGAGUGGAACUUCUGGUGGAGCGGUGAAAUGCGUAGAUAUCAGAAGGAACGCCGGCGGCGAAAGCGACUCUCUGGCCCGAAACUGACGCUGAGUGUGCGAAAGCUAGGGGAGCAAACGGGAUUAGAUACCCCGGUAGUCCUAGCCGUAAACGAUGGGCACUAAGUAGAGGGGUUUUA
rnacentral:rRNA from 1 species